rnacentral:rRNA from 1 species
CGUAGGGCGCGAGCGUUGUCCGGAUUUAUUGGGCGUAAAGAGCUCGUAGGCGGCUUGUCGCGUCGGCUGUGAAAUCCCGUGGCUCAACUGCGGGCUUGCAGCCGAUACGGGCAGGCUAGAGUUCGGUAGGGGAGACUGGAAUUCCUGGUGUAGCGGUGAAAUGCGCAGAUAUCAGGAGGAACACCGGUGGCGAAGGCGGGUCUCUGGGCCGAUACUGACGCUGAGGAGCGAAAGCGUGGGGAGCGAACAGGAUUAGAUACCUGGUAGUCCACGCUGUAAACGUUGGGCGCUAGGUGUGGGGGGCCUCUCCGGUCCUCUGUGCCGCAGCUAACGCAUUAAGCGCCCCGCCUGGGGAGUACGGCCGCAAGGCUA